GAUCACGUUGACAAAAACACAGAAGUAGUGUAAUUUGAAGUCCGAACCAAGUUUAAAAAUUUUGACAGAGGCAGGGUUUGGUGUCCCGAAAGAAUAACAGCGCGUGUCAUGGUGACUUGUUGAUGCAGACAUGAGCUCAAAUCAAAACUCUGCAACCUUUAUGGUCUCCCACCCAAAGAACUCAUCAGGCAUCACGAAGAAGCAAGAUUACUGGGGGGGGUUUCUGUAUUUUUGAUCAAAUAAAUGCAGCCUUGAUGAGCAAAAGAGACAACUUUAAAAAACAUUACCCACAUAUAAGGUGCUGGGACAGAGAAAAAUCCAAUAAACAGGAGCUUAUUGGCACCUUUGAGCAGGUGAGAAGAGAAGAGCUAUUUUGUAGAAAGUGGUUUCAAAAGUGUCCUGUUUUUUUUUUUUUUUUUACCAGUCAUGUAAAUAUUCUAAGACAUACGUCACCCACCCAUGAUUGAUUUAUUCCACAAAUUAAAUUAUUUUUCAGGUAUUGGCAAAUAUUAAUAUUUCUGGUUAAUAAUUCCAGUAAUUUAGUAUUUUUAACAUCUUAAUAAUGCAAUUAUAAUCUGAAAAUAAAACACAUACAAUACAGUUUAAUGUAGCUUGAAGAGAGUUGGAUGGCUGUUGUAUAGUGUCCUGUUAAAU